ensembl:processed_transcript 4930417H01Rik RIKEN cDNA 4930417H01 gene
UUGCACUGUGAGGAGACAGCUACCACAUCAUGCUAAACUUACCCAGCACCGUGGGAAGGUCUGUUGAGAAGGAGCUUAGCCCACCAACUGCCAUCACAGGGAAGACUGAGGCAGGAGGAUUGCCAUAAGUUUGAGGACAUCCUACCUGAACUAUGAGUUGGGACCCUGUCUCAAAAAUAGAUAAUUUGUCUACCUGUUAAUGACUCUGCUUCUUGGACUACGUCCCAGUAGAUGCCAUGCUUUCAGCCUGAUGAAUGUCAAAAUGGCUGAACACUGUUGAAAAGAUGCCUCAUCACUGAGUCAUCUUUGCAAGUACCUUGUGGAAGAGCAAGUGACCACAAAUGUGAACGUGGAGACACUGGCUGUGAAGAUACACAUUUAUUUCUCUGCCUACAAGAAAGAAUAGAAAUAAAGAAACCAAAGUG